rnacentral:piRNA from 1 species
UGAGUCAGUCCAGUACAGAAGUGAA